rnacentral:rRNA from 1 species
GAUCUUGCCAGUAUUAUAUACUUAAAUUAAAGAUUAAGCCAUGCAAAUGUAAGAUCGGAUGCUAUACAUUUUAAUCUGUUGAAGGCUCAUUACAAGAGUUAUGUACUAUUUGCUUGUCUGGGAAACCAUGAGGAUAACGCAGCCAACAGCAGCGAUAAUACUCAAUCAAGCAAUGAUAGUAUUUAGUGAAGAAAUACUACCACCCUUACCUAGUGAUUUCCUCACGGAGAGAGCUAGGUAAGAGUCGACCUCAAUACUGGAAAAGAUAUUUCAGGAGUGAUGUCCUGACAAUGCCUUUUUUUAUGCGGGCCAAACAGGUGUGUUUCUUAUCUAUCAGUUUCUGUUGUUUCGUUAAGGGCGAAACAUGGCAGUAACGGAUACGGAGAAUUAGAGUUCGACUCCGGAGAGGGCGCUUGAGGAUUGGCGACUACGUCUAAGGAUGGCAGCAGGCGCGAAAAUUGUCCAAUAUUAACUUAGUGAGACAGUGACGAUUAAUAACGAUCUUCCAUUUAUGGAAGAGUAUCGCAAGGUUUGUAAUGGUUGUAUGUUAAAUCUCUACAAGAGUAACGAUUGGAGGAAAAGUCUGGUGCCAGCACCCGCGGUAAUUCCAGCUCCAAUAGCGUAUUCUAAAUUUGUUGCAAUUAAAACGCUCGUAGUUAUACUAUUUAUCUGAUUGUAAUGAACCGGUAACUCAGUAGGUAGUACUUGGUUGAUAUCUUGACCUUGUAUUACUGUAAUUCCAAUUACAACUGGGAAGCCCUAGGCUACUACUUGUUUCUAUGUAGGUCACUACGCUGAAGUGGGGAAGAAGUGGUUUGUUAUAAGAAAGAUCCUAUCCAACUGUGAGUAAAUCAACGUGUUCAAGACAAGCAUUGUAUUCGGGUCACCGAAAUCGCUUGAAUGAUUUAGCAUGGUAUUGGGUCUAGAUCUUAGGAUAAUAAACGGGAAAUAGGCGGAGGGCUCAUGUAUUGUAUUGCUAGAGGUGAAAUUCAGAGAUCAAUACAAGACUAACAAACGCGAAAGCAGUUACGCCCACUACGUUUCCGUCAAUCAGGAACGAAAGUUGGGGGAUCGAAGGUGAUUAGAUACCACCGUAGUCCCAACCGUAAACGAUACCGACAGGAGAUUGGAU